rnacentral:rRNA from 1 species
GGCCGGGAACUCAAAGGAGACUGCCAGUGAUAAACUGGAGGAAGGUGGGGAUGACGUCAAGUCAUCAUGGCCCUUACGACCAGGGCUACACACGUGCUACAAUGGCGCAUACAAAGAGAAGCGACCUCGCGAGAGCAAGCGGACCUCAUAAAGUGCGUCGUAGUCCGGAUUGGAGUCUGCAACUCGACUCCAUGAAGUCGGAAUCGCUAGUAAUCGUGGAUCAGAAUGCCACGGUGAAUACGUUCCCGGGCCUUGUACACACCGCCCGUCACACCAUGGGAGUGGGUUGCAAAAGAAGUAGGUAGCUUAACCUUCGGGAGGGCGCUUACCACUUUGUGAUUCAUGACUGGGGUGAAGUCGUAACAAGGUAACCGUAGGGGAACCUGCGGUUGGAUCAC